rnacentral:rRNA from 1 species
GAGGAAUAUUGGUCAAUGGGCGAGAGCCUGAACCAGCCAAGUAGCGUGCAGGAUGACGGCCCUAUGGGUUGUAAACUGCUUUUGUAUGGGGAUAAAGUCAAUCACGUGUGAUUGUUUGCAGGUACCAUACGAAUAAGGACCGGCUAAUUCCGUGCCAGCAGCCGCGGUAAUACGGAAGGUCCGGGCGUUAUCCGGAUUUAUUGGGUUUAAAGGGAGCGUAGGCUGGAGAUUAAGUGUGUUGUGAAAUGUAGACGCUCAACGUCUGACUUGCAGCGCAUACUGGUUUCCUUGAGUACGCACAACGUUGGCGGAAUUCGUCGUGUAGCGGUGAAAUGCUUAGAUAUGACGAAGAACUCCGAUUGCGAAGGCAGCUGACGGGAGCGCAACUGACGCUUAAGCUCGAAGGUGCGGGUAUCAAACAGGAUUAGAUACCCUGGUAGUCCGCACAGUAAACGAUGGAUGCCCGCUGUUGGUACCUGGUAUCAGCGGCUAAGCGAAAGCAUUAAGCAUCCCACCUGGGGAGUACGCCGGCAACGGUG